UUUCAUGUGGAAAUAUGUCUGCUCCUCAUUCCUUUGGGAGCAGGAAAACAUCCAUAACAUGCUACAUUAAAAAAGUUCUCAGGACUGUCAACCUUACCAUAGAGGUUAAGUAGUAGUAUAUGUCUCCUACAUAA
ensembl:snoRNA small nucleolar RNA U109